AAUGACUUGUUAUUGCUAAAGGAUCUCUGGGAUUUUUUGUUUCUUAGGCUUGAAUUCUAGGAGAAAUUACUGACAGUUUCCCAUUGGCACAGUUGAGGAAUACCACAUUGUUUCCCGAAGUUUGGACCUGGUCAAAUUCAGCAGCAUGGAUUUGCAAGGAAUGUGGACUGGUCGCUUGUUAAUUAUGAAAAUGUUGAAGGAAAUCCUAUUAUUACUGUCGAGCC